rnacentral:rRNA from 1 species
CUUCGGGUACUUUAGUGGCGAACGGGUGAGUAAUACAUAGGUAACCUACCCUUAAGACGAGGAUAGCCAUUGGAAACGAUGGAUAAAACUGGAUAGGAUAUAGAGGAAGAAUCUUUUAUAUUUAAAAGAGAGAUCUGCUUAAGGAGGGGCCUGUGGCGCAUUAGCUAGUUGGUGGGGUAAGGGCCUACCAAGGCGAUGAUGCGUAGCCGGACUGAGAGGUUGAACGGCCACAAUGGAACUGAGAACGGUCCAUACUCCUACGGGAGGCAGCAGUAGGGAAUUUUCGGCAAUGGGGGGAACCCUGACCGAGCAACGCCGCGUGAACGAAGAAGUUAUUCGUAAUGUAAAGUUCUUUUAUCAGGGAAGAAAGAGGAAUUUGACGGUACCUGAGGAAUAAGCUCCGGCUAACUACGUGCCAGCAGCCGCGGUAAUACGUAGGGAGCGAGCGUUAUCCGGAAUUAUUGGGCGUAAAGGGUGCGUAGAUGGCAUAGUAAGUCUUUUGUAAAAAUGCUGGGCUCAACCCAGUAGGGCAAAAGAUACUGCAAAGCUAGAGUAUGACAGAGGCAAGUGGAACUACAUGUGUAGCGGUAAAAUGCGUAAAUAUAUGUAAGAACACCAGUGGCGAAGGCGGCUUGCUGGGUCGAUACUGACAUUGAGGCACGAAAGCGUGGGGAGCAAACAGGAUUAGAUACCCUGGUAGUCCACGCCCUAAACGAUGAGUGCUAAGUGUUGGUGAGAAUCAGUGCUGAAGUUAACGCAUUAAGUACUCCGCCUGAGUAGUACGUACGCAAGUAUGAAACUUAAAGGAAUUGACGGGAGCCCGCACAAGCGGUGGAGCAUGUUGUUUAAUUCGACGAUACGCGAAGAACCUUACCAGGUCUUGAC